UAGGCGCACACCGUUGAUUUUUAGUUGGCCGAUAGUUGUGCCCAAUUUUAAAUUGUAUGAAGAAUCGGCCAAAUCGAAUCGGCGUAGUGUGCGCACUCCCAUACAUGCCCAUACUGAUCAACUGCCCGACUAAACUAUCGGCCGACGAAAAAUCAACGGUGUGCGCCUACUCUAACACGCGCCAAAAUUAAUAGCAACUCGAAUCCCUGUUUAGUUUGUUAAAUUGUUAUUUUUAUAUCUUCAUACCCAUCCGCCUCAGACAUUGAAAACGGUAUCGGGCCGUGCUGCUGUCAUCAACGCUGUACCAUUAGACGAUAGUUGCUGUCCAGGAUAGUUCAUCUGCCGUCUUAGAAAGAACUGAAAUUGGGCUAUAAGAUAUCAAAAUGCCCAAAAUCCCUGAGAAAGAUGAUUAUAAAGAUACGGCUGGAAAGGUUUUGGGGUCAGGUCGAGCCGGAGAAUUCAUGCAAACCAGAUUCACCAGAAUUCCUGAUGGACAUUUGAAUGCAGAAACUGUAGCUGGUAUUCGAGAUAUGUAUUUAGGCAAAGUUAGAAAUGGAAAACACGUUGGAGGUGCAACGAUACGUUUCGACACUGGAAUUACUGAGAAAGCCUUAAAGAGAAAGGAUAUUCCCCACAUCAAUAUUGACCCUAAAGGAAGUCCCAAAAAAACCAACCCUCAUAUUGACGUACCCAAAGAAGUAGUGGAUUCAGCCCAAGUCAUUAAUACGACUAUUAAAUAUGUAGGCAUUACUUUAACAGUGGCCGCCGUAGCGUUGGAUGCCUGGCGGAUUGGGUCCGCUUUGAAAGAUGAUAUUUACACUAGGGACCACGCCGAUAAGAUUAUUAAAGAGCUAGAGGAUGCCAUUAGCGAGUUGAAAAAAUCAAUUAGGACUGAAACUAAAUCAUCAAGAGUUAGGGAAAUAAGGACGACGAUAGAAUAUCUUAAGAAGCUUGUGAUUGAUGUGAGACGGACUAAGAAGGUUCCAGUGAAAUGUAUCAAGACUGUUUCGUCGGUUGGAGGGAGUUGGGGAGGUGGGGCGUUGGGAGGAACUGCCGGGGCCUGGGGGGGGGCGAAGGCCGGGGCUCUAGUGGGGUCUGCUUUCGGACCUGUGGGCACGGUAGUCGGCGCUCCGAUAGGCGCGGUGAUUGGCGCUAUCGGACUAGGCAUUUUUGCUGGCAUAGCUGGAAGUGCUGCUUGCGAAACGGCUGCUGACGCAGUUCUUAGUCUUGCAGACUAAAGGUUACAGACUUAUCAACUCGGAAAGGGAUCAACACCGUAUCGCCUUUCGCGCGCUGUCAACCGCGCGGCGAAGCGUACGGAUAAGUUUGCGCUGCAGUAUGGAGUUUCAUACAAAUCUGGGGGCACGGCAGUGCCCCCACCAAGUCGAGCAAAAAAGCGGCACGGCCGUACCAUCCUUUUCUCGAAGCAAUUCAGGCCAUUUUCGACCGCCUGUAACUUCGUUGUGGAUAAAACUAGAAGGCUGAAUUUUCAUUAGCUAUGCAGGCAUUGUAAAGACACGGUAUAUUUAAAAUUUCAUUCAAUUUGAACCAGUAGUUUAAGAAUUAUAACGGGUCAAAGUUACUUAUUAAUUUUGUCACUCACUGACUCACUGCCUCACUGACUCACUGACUGACUCACCGAUCAUCAAAAUUCUAAGGCACUUCUAGCAGACCUAGAAGCUUCAAAUUCGGAAUAUAAGUAGUGUUUGGUGUAUGAAUCAAGGAAAAACUAAAAUAUUUGGGGGCACGGUAGUGCAACCGCCAAGUCGAGUAAAAUUUUUCAAUUUCGGUCCAGUUUUCUAGAUACAUAACUGCUGUCUACAAAAUACAAAAAGAAAUGAGAUUUGGGGGCACGGUAGUGCAACCGCCAAGUCGAGUAAAAUUUUUCAAUUACGGUCCAGUUUUCUAGAUACAUAACUGCUGUCUACAAAAUACAAAAAGAAAUGAGAUCCCAUCAAAAACAAUACUUGUCAAAAAAACCAAGUCUCGCAACUCAGUUGUUCUACGGUAAAAAGUUGAGAGAUCCAUGUAAUACCAAGUCCAGGCCAGGAAAUCUUUAACGUUUUACAUAAAUAUAUUGACUUGGCCAUCGCAUGAAAACACGUGUAAAUUAAAUUAUUUAGUGCGAUGGCCAAGUCAAUAUAUUUAUGUAAAACGUUAAAGAUUUCCUGGCCUGGACUUGGUAUUACAUGGAUCUCACAACUUUUUACCGUAGAACAACUGAGUUGCGAGACUUGGUUUUUUUGACAAGUAUUGUUUUUGAUGGGAUAAUACUGACUGCCUCGAGUUCGGUAACCUAUCUUACUUUUGAAACUCUUCUUCGAAUUUCAAUAAGUCGAAAACGGUUUUAUCAAAGUUUGAAAUACCAGAUAAUCAUAUUUUAAUGAGGAUCAUUACUGUUGUACAAAAUUCAAUAAAACUAGUAUCUACGUUAGGUAAUCUUUAAGAAAGAAUGAUAAUGUCUUUUUGAAUUAUCCAAAUCGGACCAUUACUUACAUUACGAAGAUAUUAAGUAAUAAUAAACAUAGGCCGUUUAUGCCGCUAAACGUCAACGUAUACCUACGCAGGGCCGCGUGACGUCACUAUAUCGGAACCGAGCGCAGCCGGCGUACUAUAUUGGGAUGGAAGAUAUUUUUUUCUAGCCAUACAUAGUCAUACCCAAAAGUUAUCUAUCGAUAGCUUACUUUAUUCUGAUGAGUAAAAAAAUGGCUAGAAAAAAAUAUUUUCUAUCCACGCAGUACGCGGCAGCGUUCGGAUCUGAUAUAGUGUAGUGACGUCAUUGUUCCCGCGCCGGGCGGUCAGUGAACUUUUUUAGUAAUUUGGCCAUAACUUCGUAAAUUUUUGUCGUAGCACAAAAACUUUUGGACUGUAAAUUAAGGAUUUCUUAGCUCUAUAAAUAAUAUAAAGAUAAAGGGUAUAUAAAGGGUUAUAUAAAUCUGCAUUAACAAUUAAAAAUCGAAAUGAUUCUCAAAUAUUGCAAAUUUUAUUUUAUAGAAAUUCGGAAAAUUUAAAUUCGGGCUCUUUCCUUGCACAAAGGCUUAGUAUUGCUAUCCAGCGAGGAAAUGCAGCCAGCAUCCUCGCCUCUUUGCCUCGCGGACACACUUUUAUUUUUGAGUAAAGUCUGGUCGCUGAGCACGUAGAAUUUUGUCCAUUGACCCCAAGCUACCCAUCCUUAUCGCUCGCGCGUAAUUAUAUUGCUGUCGCGACUGUGCGACGGGCGGCAGCAGUGAGUGUGCGCACCGCACCGCAAGAAAUUCUACGUGCUCAGCGACCAGACUAUAGUAAGUAAGUUAUAUUAUAUAUUUUUUUGUUUAGAGUUAAGAUUGCUUUAGUUUUUAAAAUUCCUUUUAUAGAUGUUUCAAUUUCCAGUAAAACAGAUGCCCGAAUAUUAAAACACUUUUUUUUCUUUUUACAGGUGUUUUCAUACAAUAAUUUCUCACUACCAGGUUGAAUUGCCUAUAAUUUUUAAAUUAUACAAUUUUUAUGUUACUGUUAUUAGUUUUUCUAAACCAAAGCUAUGUCAUGUCAUUAAUAUUAUUUCGAAUAGAUUUAUAUAAACUACACUCGACAUCAAAUAAAUCGCACCUCUCGCGACAAGCACUUUCAAACGUAUGCAUUCCCACUUCCCACCAAUAUUGGCACCAUUUAAAAGCCUAGUUCUAAACAUUAUUUCAUUAGUCAUUUCUUCAAAAAAUAGGUACGAGUAGUUCCGCUUGAGCCAACUUUUAUGGCUUUAAAAUUGUUGGGAUUAAUCUCUAUCCAUCUGUUAAAAAGGACACUUGAGAUCUCAUCCCAGAGGUGAGCCCAAAGUGAGGUCUUUUUUCAAGUCACAUUUAUGGUACGUAAAUAAUUUAUUAAGAAAUUAAAUGUGGUUUUCUUUAAGGAUAUUUAUUGGGCUUUCAAAUAACACCAAUAUUGUUGGGGCACCAUGAUUGUGUCAGAAGAAAAUCUUUAAAGUUCGCGUCGCGGUAGGUGCGAUUUAUUUGAUGUUGAGUGUAUAUUUUAACACAUAAAUGUUAAGCAUAGUAGUUUUUAAACAUGUCCGUCCUAUCAAGACCUAUGUCAUUAUUUUUAAGGUAAUUGUUCGUAUUGGCCGCUGCGACACAAGCUUUCCUGCUUAGUGCAGAGACCGCCAGAAUAAAUUGUACAAUGUGACAUCUUUUAGUAAUAAAUGCUUUUUUACUUUUAA